CUACUAACUAAUAUUCAAAGUGGACUAGAAUUCCUUACCGUCCACAUGCAGAUAUAACAAGCAAUUGGGAAGCAUUGCAAGGGGAUGAAUAUAAGAUUCAAGAGAGUUUAUUGUUUAAGGAGGAACUGCA